rnacentral:lncRNA from 1 species
UGGGAAAUAGAUAUUUUUUAUGCCCCACCUACGAUAGUAGAGGGGCAUUAUGUUUUCUGGUCUGUGCGUCCGUUCGUCCGUCUGUCCCGCUCCAGGUUAAAGUUUUUGGUCAAGGUAGUUUUUGAUGAAGUUGAAGUCCAAUCGACUUCGAACUUAGUACACAUGUUCCCCAUGAUAUGAUCUUUCUAAUUUUAAUGCCAAAUUAGAGUUUUUACCCCAAUUUCACGGUCCACUGAACAUGGAAAAUGAUAGUGCG